rnacentral:rRNA from 1 species
GUAGUCAUAUGCUUGUCUCAAAGAUUAAGCCAUGCAUGUCUAAGUAUAAGCACUCUUGUACCGUGAAACUGCGAAUGGCUCAUUAAAUCAGUUAUCGUUUAUUUGAUAGUACCCUACUACAUGGAUACCUGUGGUAAUUCUAGAGCUAAUACAUGCGCCAAACCCCGACUUCGGAAGGGGUGUAUUUAUUAGAUAAAAAACCAAUGCCCCUCGGGGCUCCUUGGUGAUUCAUAAUAACUUCACGAAUCGCAUGGCCUUGCGCCGGCGAUGGUUCAUUCAAAUUUCUGCCCUAUCAACUUUCGAUGGUAGGAUAGUGGCCUACCAUGGUGGCAACGGGUAACGGGGAAU